CCUACGGGAGGCAGCAGUGAGGAAUAUUGGUCAAUGGACGAGAGUCUGAACCAGCCAAGUAGCGUGAAGGAUGACUGUCCUAUGGGUUGUAAACUUCUUUUAUAAAGGAAUAAAACGAGGCACGUGUCCCUGUUUGCAUGUACUUUAUGAAUAAGGAUCGGCUAACUCCGUGCCAGCAGCCGCGGUAAUACGGAGGAUCCGAGCGUUAUCCGGAUUUAUUGGGUUUAAAGGGAGCGUAGAUGGGUUGUUAAGUCAGUUGUGAAAGUUUGCGGCUCAACCGUAAAAUUGCAAUUGAUACUGGCAGUCUUGAGUACAGUUGAGGUAGGCGGAAUUCGUGGUGUAGCGGUGAAAUGCUUAGAUAUCACGAAGAACCCCGAUUGCGAAGGCAGCUUACUAAACUGUGACUGACAUUGAUGCUCGAAAGUGUGGGUAUCAAACAGGAUUAGAUACCCCAGUAGUC
rnacentral:rRNA from 1 species